GAUGAACGCUGGCGGCGUGCCUAAUACAUGCAAGUCGAGCGAACAGACGAGGAGCUUGCUCCUCUGACGUUAGCGGCGGACGGGUGAGUAACACGUGGAUAACCUACCUAUAAGACUGGGAUAACUUCGGGAAACCGGAGCUAAUACCGGAUAAUAUAUUGAACCGCAUGGUUCAAUAGUGAAAGACGGUUUUGCUGUCACUUAUAGAUGGAUCCGCGCCGCAUUAGCUAGUUGGUAUGGUAACGGCUUACCAAGGGAACGAUGCGUAGCCGACCUGAGAGGGUGAUCGGCCGCACUGGAACUGAGACACGGUCCAGACUCCUACGGGAGGCAGCAGUAGGGAAUCUUCCGCAAUGGGCGAGAGCCUGACGGAGCAACGCCGCGUGAGUGAUGAAGGUCUUCGGAUCGUAAAACUCUGUUAUUAGGGAAGAACAAAUGUGUAAGUAACUAUGCACGUCUUGACGGUACCUAAUCAGAAAGCCACGGCUAACUACGUG
rnacentral:rRNA from 1 species